UGAGUAACACGUGGGUGAUCUGCCUGUGAGCGGGGGAUAACCUGGGGAAACUCGGGCUAAUACCGCAUACGUUGAUCAGGUUACGGCCUGGUCAAGAAAGCUGGCCUCUAUUUAUAAGCUAGCACUCACAGAGGAGCCCGCGGCUGAUUAGCUAGUUGGUAGGGUAAUGGCCUACCAAGGCGACGAUCAGUAGCCGGCCUGAGAGGGUGAUCGGCCACACUGGGACUGAGACACGGCCCAGACUCCUACGGGAGGCAGCAGUGGGGAAUAUUGGACAAUGGGCGCAAGCCUGAUCCAGCAACGCCGCGUGGAGGACGAAGGUCUUCGGAUCGUAAACUCCUGUCAGGCGGGACGAAGGCUUCCGGGCAAAUAGUCCGGAAGCUUGACGGUACUGCCAGAGGAAGCCCCGGCUAACUCCGUGCCAGCAGCCGCGGUAAUACGGAGGGGGCUAGCGUUAUUCGGAAUUAUUGGGCGUAAAGGGCGCGUAGGCGGCCCGGUAAGUCAAAGGUGAAAUCCCUCGGCUCAACUGAGGAACUGCCUUUGAAACUGUCGGGCUUGAGGCCGGGAGGGGGUAGCGGAAUUCCCAGUGUAGCGGUGAAAUGCGUAGAUAUUGGGAGGAACACCGGUGGCGAAGGCGGCUACCUGGACCGGUUCUGACGCUGAUGCGCGAAAGCGUGGGUAGCAAAACAGGAUUAGAUACCCUGGUAG
rnacentral:rRNA from 1 species